GACGAACGCUGGCGGCGUGCUUAACACAUGCAAGUCGAACGGAAAGGCCCUGCUUGCAGGGUGCUCGAGUGGCGAACGGGUGAGUAACACGUGGGUGAUCUUCCCCUUACUUUGGGAUAAGCCUGGGAAACUGGGUCUAAUACUGGAUAGGACCAUGCUGUAGGUGGUGUGGUGGAAAGAUUAGUUUCGGUAAGGGAUGAGCUCGCGGCCUAUCAGCUUGUUGGUGGGGUAAUGGCCUACCAAGGCGUCGACGGGUAGCCGGCCUGAGAGGGUGGACGGCAACAUUGGGACUGAGAUACGGCCCAGACUCCUACGGGAGGCAGCAGUGGGGAAUAUUGCACAAUGGGCGCAAGCCUGAUGCAGCGACGCCGCGUGGGGGAUGACGGCCUUCGGGUUGUAAACUCCUUUCAGCCAUGACGAAGCCCUUGUGGUGACGGUAGUGGUAGAAGAAGCACCGGCUAACUACGUG
rnacentral:rRNA from 1 species